rnacentral:lncRNA from 1 species
CAGGUGAUUUUUGCUAAUCUGAAGAAAUGCACUAGUGUGGUUACAAGUAAUAUGUUGAGUACCGCGACGAUCUGCUUGUUAUCAAGUGGAACAAGCGGAAUGAAUUAGAUCAUGAUGACUGACGAUCUACUCCGGGUGAGUUGUUGGUAACCUGUCCGCAACAUUCGAUCUAACUCGGGCUGACACGAGUUCGAAAAACCAUCCGUAGAAGCAAACCGCAGGAAGAUGUUAACAGAUAGUGCUGCAAUCAUUUCAGGCCUGGAAGAAAUUCCCGACUCAAGGACCCGCUACGCAAUAUGGACAGAAUACCAACAAAGAAAGAGCCCUGAAUUUAUUGCUGAAAUGUCGAUCUAUCUAUCUACUUAUAGUACAUUCUCGUCUCUGCCUCUCUAGAUAGAACUCGACUCCGGAAUCGACCAAGGAGCACGCACGUUCUCAUCUUCGUGUACUGAUAAGAGUACGACGUAUCUCUAGUAUAAGCUCUUUUCCUGCUCGAGCACUCCCAUUGAUGUUAGAAGCCCGGGCUUCAUGCACAUGAUUUAUUUCAUUUCAGUCCCUCAUGUCACAGAACUCAAGCGUCGAAACAAUACUCAUCAUGAACCUUCCACACAACUUCAAUGUGAUCAUGCUAUGCAGCGUUCUGAUUCUUACUGAAGGCAUCAGUGCCUAUGAUCAGGUGUACGGACCGAUAAGGCUCUACGUGUGGGAUCAGCCCC